GACGAACGCUGGCGGCGUGCUUAACACAUGCAAGUCGAGCGGAAAGGCCUUUCGGGGUACUCGAGCGGCGAACGGGUGAGUAACACGUGAGUAAUCUGCCCUGCACUCUGGGAUAGCCACCGGAAACGGUGAUUAAUACCGGAUAUGACAAUCUUGCGCAUGUGGGGUUGUGGAAAGUUUUUUCGGUGCGGGAUGUGCUCGCGGCCUAUCAGCUUGUUGGUGGGGUAAUGGCCUACCAAGGCUUCGACGGGUAGCCGGCCUGAGAGGGUGACCGGCCACACUGGGACUGAGACACGGCCCAGACUCCUACGGGAGGCAGCAGUGGGGAAUAUUGGACAAUGGGCGAAAGCCUGAUCCAGCAACGCCGCGUGAGGGAUGACGGCCUUCGGGUUGUAAACCUCUUUCAGCACAGACGAAGUUCUAUCUUUUUGGGUGGAGUGACGGUAUGUGCAGAAGAAGGACCGGCCAACUACGUGCCAGCCGCCGCCGUAACAC
rnacentral:rRNA from 1 species